GACGAACGCUGGCGGCGUGCCUAAUACAUGCAAGUCGACCUGAGUGGCGAACGGUUGAGUAACACGUGGGUAACCUGCCCAUCAGAAGGGGAUAACACUUGGAAACAGGUGCUAAUACCGUAUACUGACGGAUGGACCCGCGGGGCAUUAGCUAGUUGGUGAGGUAACGGCUUACCAAGGCCACGAUGCAUAGCCGGCCUGAGAGGGUGAUCGGCCACAUUGGGACUGAGACACGGCCCAAACGCCUACGGGAGGCAGCAGUGGGGAAUCUUCGGCAAUGGACGAAAGUCUGACCGAGCAACGCCGCGUGAGUGAAGAAGGUUUUCGGAUCGUAAAGCUCUGUUGUUAGAGAAGCGGUAUCUAACCAGAAAGCCACGGCUAACUACGUGCCAGCCGCCGCGGUAAUUC
rnacentral:rRNA from 1 species